UACGUAGGGGGCAAGCGUUGUCCGGAAUCAUUGGGCGUAAAGCGCGUGUAGGCGGUUCGGUAAGUCGGCUGUGAAAGUCCAGGGCUCAACCCUGGGAUGCCGGUCGAUACUGCCGGACUAGAGUUCGGAAGAGGCGAGUGGAAUUCCCGGUGUAGCGGUGAAUGCGCAGAUAUCGGGAGGAACACCAAUGGCGAAGGCAGCUCGCUGGGACGUUACUGACG
rnacentral:rRNA from 1 species